rnacentral:rRNA from 1 species
GGAGGAAGGUGGGGACGACGUCAAGUCAUCAUGGCCCUUACGAGUAGGGCUACACACGUGCUACAAUGGCGCAUACAGAGGGCGGCCAACUUGCGAAAGUGAGCGAAUCCCAAAAAGUGCGUCGUAGUCCGGAUUGGAGUCUGCAACUCGACUCCAUGAAGUCGGAAUCGCUAGUAAUCGUGGAUCAGAAUGCCACGGUGAAUACGUUCCCGGGCCUUGUACACACCGCCCGUCACACCAUGGGAG